ACCGGGGUAGGCAAAUUGGCAAAGCCGCCGGCAUGAGAGGUCGGUGUUUGCGGGUUCGAAUCCCGUCUCCGGUA
rnacentral:tRNA from 1 species